AUUGAACGCUGGCGGCAGGCUUAACACAUGCAAGUCGAGCGGAGAGAGGUAGCUUGCUACUGAUCUUAGCGGCGGACGGGUGAGUGAUGCUUAGGAAUCUGCCUAUUAGUGGGGGACAACAUUUCGAAAGGAAUGCUAAUACCGCAUACGUCCUACGGGAGAAAGCAGGGGAUCUUCGGACAUUGCGCUAAUAGAUAAGCCUAAGUCGGAUUAGCUAGUUGGUGGGGUAAAGGCCUAACAAGGCGACGAUCUGUAGCGGGUCUGAGAGGAUGAUCCGCCACACUGGGACUGAGACACGGCCCAGACUCCUACGGGAGGCAGCAGUGGGGAAUAUUGGACAAUGGGCGGAAGCCUGAUCCAGCCAUGCCGCGUGUGUGAAGAAGGCCUUAUGGUUGUAAAGCACUUUAAGCGAGGAGGAGGCUACUUUAGUUAAUACCUAGAGAUAGUGGACGUUACUCGCAGAAUAAGCACCGGCUAACUCUGUGCCAGCCGCCGCCGUAA
rnacentral:rRNA from 1 species